GCGUGAGUGAUGAAGGCCCUAGGGUCGUAAAGCUCUUUCGCCAGGGAUGAUAAUGACAGUACCUGGUAAAGAAACCCCGGCUAACUCCGUGCCAGCAGCCGCGGUAAUACGGAGGGGGUUAGCGUUGUUCGGAAUUACUGGGCGUAAAGCGUACGUAGGCGGACCGAAAAGUUGGGGGUGAAAUCCCGGGGCUCAACCCCGGAACUGCCUCCAAAACUGCCGGUCUAGAGUUCGAGAGAGGUGAGUGGAAUUCCGAGUGUAGAGGUGAAAUUCGU
rnacentral:rRNA from 1 species